rnacentral:rRNA from 1 species
GACGAACGCUGGCGGCGUGCUUAACACAUGCAAGUCGAACGGAAAGGCCCUGCUUUUGUGGGGUGCUCGAGUGGCGAACGGGUGAGUAACACGUGAGUAACCUGCCCUUGACUUUGGGAUAACUUCAGGAAACUGGGGCUAAUACCGGAUAGGAGCUCCUGCUGCAUGGUGGGGGUUGGAAAGUUUCGGCGGUUGGGGAUGGACUCGCGGCUUAUCAGCUUGUUGGUUGGGUAGUGGCUUACCAAGGCUUUGACGGGUAGCCGGCCCGAGAGGGUGACCGGCGACAUGGGGACUGAGAGAGGGACCAGACUCCUACGGGAGGCAGCGGUGGGGAAUAUUGCACAGUGGGCGGAAGCCUGAGGCAGCAACGCCGCGUGCGGGAUGACGGCCUUUGGGUUGUAAACAGCUUUAGCCUGUGACGAAGCGUGAGUGACGGUAAUGGGUAAAGAAGCACCGGCUAACUACGUG